rnacentral:pre_miRNA from 1 species
AUAAUACUCCCUCUGUCCGGAAUUACUUGUCAUCAAAAUGGAUGUGUCUAGAACUAAAAUACAUCUAGAUACAUCCAUUUCAAUGACAAGUAUUUCCGGACGGAGGGAGUAGUAG